UAAUGCCGUGCUCCACAUGUCAGUACGUGUCGGCCAAGAUAAACAGGAUGUUUAUAUGGGGCAGAACUGCAGCGACAAUGAAGAGUUUUUCAAGGCUGGAUGCUGUUCCUCAUUUUGCUCCUGCUCGUGAGAUCACCCUGUAAUUUCACCUUGGAAUUUAAGAUGGACCCUCAGCUAAACACUUGAGGGGGAAUUCGGGAGCAUCCAGAUAGAAUCAAAUUUUAGUAGACAAUUAUUUAAAGGUGAACUGAAAUAAUCUAUCAAAUAAUAGCCACACUUCUCCUGGCUACAAAAACUCAUUGCUUCUGUUGCACCAUGGCCAUAAAGUUCUAAUAUAUGUGUCAAGAGAUGGAAGUAAAAAAAUUCAGGUGUGAAAUCAUAUGUGUUUGAAAGUUUCUUUAAACCUAUCCACAGAAAUUAAACCAAAACUGAUGUUUUACUAUUAAUUGUUGUUCAAUUGUUGUUAAUGUAUGUGCUCUUUUCAUAUAUAUUUAUUUGAAAUAUAUUAAAAAUUUAAAUUUCUGAUUCUUUAUGAUAAAAUAGCACAUUUCCUUGAUUUAAAGACUCUCAAAUGUUUCUAAAACUGGGAUGCAGCUUCCAACCUACAUGGACGUGUAAUCUAAAAGUUGUCUUGAAAUUGAUGAUGUGUUGUUCAGUUGAUGGACUCUUAUAAUGGAGGAGAUGAAUAAGAUGAAUAAGAUUCUGUUUGGUCUUCCAAAAACAUUUCUCAGAGAUGAGUAAUUUGAAUUGAUAUUCUACAGCUUCUAAGUUCUCUAUACACUUUCCUCUUUUUAGCCUUCCAUCUGAACUAAUUUGUUCACGGAAUAAUUAGUUAGGGCUUUCUGAGAAUGGGAAAGAAUAAGAUAUAUUUGGUUUUCUAAGCCUGAAAGAAAUAUCCAUGCACUAUCAGUGAAUCAAUGGCAGUUGUCCCUUUGCCACUGGUUUACACAUCAGCUUUAGGAAAACACCUUCAUACCUGGUAAUGUUACCAUAUGGAUUUGGACUAAAGCAUUCAAACAAAAGUGUCCAAGCAAUAUGAAAACCCUUUUCGCACCUGGCUGCACUUUUUCCCCACACGUUGAUCUAUUUGCAUUAGAACUGGCCAAAGGGUUUGUCUCAUUAAACUGUAUUCAACUGAAAGUAUUUUACCAGUGAUGAAAAAUAAAAUGUCAUGUCAAAGUUACUUAAAAGGUGAUGGGGGGGAAUGAAAGUCAUUUCAUGAAACAAUGUGAAAAAUGAAAAAGCUCUCUUUGAUCAUAGUUCAUAAUUGAAGGUUAUUUCCAUUUCCAAGGUAGUUAUUUUGGCAAUUAAAUCUACUCAAAAGUUUUAUCUCUAAAAAAAUUAAUUGUAUGUUGAAAAAGUGAAUUGGGAUAAUGUACUCUGUAAAGGUUAAAAGAGGUUAUUCCAAAUGUUAUUAUUUCAGUAACAUUAGAUUUAUUAUCAUAUGCAGAAACUUUUAAGAUAUUAUAAAAGUAUAAUAUGCUAAAAAUGUUUUCUAUAUAGAAAAAAAUAUUCUUUCAUUUUAUUAGUAAGAAUUGUUCUGAGUGCAUAUAUGUAUUACACCAAACUGCUAAUUUAAACUGAUUUUUGUAAGAGUGAUACCAGUCUAUGCUGCUAUGUAACAUGUUGUUUAUA